GCGGGGCCGCGGGGCGGGGCGGAGCUGGCUGUUGCACAGGCCCACGGUCAAGGCCUCGCUGGGUCCUCAGCCCCGGCCGACAGGCCGGUUGCUGGGAGGCGAAGUGCGGAUCACAGCGCCUGGGGAGGCCCACCUUGGCUGCCCGCCCUGGAGCGACCUGAAGGGAAGGAUUCGAGCUGGGAGUGCGGCUGCCGCGGGUCGGACGCCCCUCUGGGGAGACCAAGGACCCGGGAGAGAGGUAGAGGGGAACAGAGACAGCCACCAGCUUCUAUCUUCUGCUGUGGCCUAUACAAAAGCACUCCAGGUUUCUGCCAAUACUCUGUCCUUGGUUGCCUGAGCAAAAUCGUAUAAAGGGAGCUGCUUGGAGGGAAAGGAACACAAUGAAACACCUCUGGAGGUAUUUCAAAGAGUAGUUUCUCAUCUCUCUGAUUUCAGGAAGAGGAGAAGAGAGGGAGAGAAAAGUGGAAUUAUUAAAGUCAUCUAACUCAUUGGUCUUGUUCAACAAGAAAGAAUUCUGGUUUGUGGCUGAAUCUGAUUUAACAGCUGCCAAUAGCUCAUUACUUCUAAGAUGUAUAUCUAAUUCAAAACUAGAUGCUCCCCCUCUCCCUCUUUUUUUCCUAAAAGCUGGGAACUUGUAAGUAAAUGGCCUAGUGAAAUAGACACUGGCUAUUUUAGAAAAGGGGUCAGAAGGUGGACCAGGAACUAUGUAUCAGGGAGAAGUAAGCGAGGCACAAGCCCAGGUCAUCUAGGCUGUGUUUAUUCAGUCCACCCAAUCCAAUUUCAAAGCCCCAAGUGGGCCAGGGUUACCUUUAUCUUCCCACCUUUGUAUUUCCGAAAGCUUUCUCACCUCAGUGGACUACUUUGUCUGAUGAAUAGCUCAAAGAGGACAUUGUUUUGGAAAAAGUCCCAAGGGCUUUCCCCUUCCUGGGUAGCUCCCUACCAUAAGUCAAAUUCAAGUUCUGGUAGCCUUGUCUACCCCUUGUAGGCGAGUGAAGAAUGCCCACAGAGUCCGGAUGUGGUGAAAUGCUGCGCAUGGAUUCCUCAGGAUUUAAACUGCAUAUUAUUAGAGAAAAAGAGCAUUCUAUGGCAAGGGUAGUCUAUAUAAAAACUUGGUUUACUCAAUGUUUUUAAUUAGGCGAGUGAACACUUAUGUACAUAAUAUUAAAUAAUAUUAAACUAAUAAAAAGAGAGGUAAAAUUCCUAUCCAUUGUAAUUGUAAAAUUAUGUCAUCAGCAAAUUCUAUAGUCACAUGGGCUCAAAGAUCUGCCUCAUCCACUCUUGUUCCCUAGGUCAAGGAACCCUGAGCCAGGGUACCUGGGAGGCAUGGUCAGCAUCGCCAGUGCACAUACACUCUGUGCCCAUACCACCACUAACGCGCCCAGCUGAAGCG